CUCGAAGCGUAUACAGUAUUUAAUUUUUCCAUUGUCUCUCAUUCGAUUCAUUUUACUUUUGAAUAAUUCCAUUUGUGUAAUUUUAUUUACUUUUAUUUUAUUAAAUCUUUUAUUAUUUGUUUAAAGAUAUGUCUCAUCUUUGUCUGAAUCACAUCAAUAUUAUCUCACACGCGUGUUAAUCCGCGUAUCUAAGUUUGAUUAACUGGUGUCAAAGAAUCCUGACGUAGAUCGGGACUUCACAGUUCGGAUCGGUUUAAAUAUUAAUAGCCCUCCUAGAAAAAGAUUAGAGAUCGGAUCUCUCGAUCCGAAACUCCGAGAACUAGUUUUACCAACUAGCCGCCGAGUAAGCGAUACAAGAGUAUUAACUAUUCCGUACCCCCGGCUAAUCUCACAUGUGCAUAGACUAUAUUUAAACAUUUUAAUGUCGAAAUUCAAACUGUAAACAAGAUUUAUUUUUAUCAUUAUCAAUUACGAAAGAAAGCAACUUAUCGUUAAAUUUUGCAUAAUUAUAUAACAUGUAAUCAGAUUGAUAAUAUAUAUUGUGACAAAAAAAUAACAGGAUAUAGAUAACCCCGAGGUGAUGAUUAUCUUCUAGAGUAAUAAAUAUAUUUAUUACUUUUGUAUCUAUUUUUCUUUAUAUAAUUCUGCAUAUAAAUAUAAGAGCGUGUAGAGCUGAGGAAAUUGAGAAGCCAAGAACAUUCCUAUCGGGACGUAAAGCAGCUGAAAUAUUUUAAUCGUUCUUCCAGGAAAUAUGAACGGAACAGCUGAAGAUUAU